GGAAGAUUAUUUUCCAAUAGAAUAAUGAUUUUCAUGUAUAUGUCAUGAGUGUGUGAGGUAAUGCGUAUGUUAAAUAGCUGGAUUUAGACAUUCCACACUAUAGCCAUAUAUCAAAACUUCAUGCUGUACAACAUAAAUAUACUAUACAAUUUUUACUUGUCAAUUAAAAAAGUAAUCCUAACAUUUAAAAAGGCAAUGCAUAAAAACUGAGAACAGACUAUAACAACUGAAACAAACUGGGCAAACAUGAGAUGAGAAACCAGCCAGCAAGUCAAUCAGAACUCUUUCUUCAUCUCGUCUACAAUAUUUUGUAUUUAUAACUGUAAAUUAGUGUAUAGUGUUUCACUCCAGAGACUUCAAUAAUACAGUGUUAUC
rnacentral:lncRNA from 1 species